ACUGGGGUAGUACUUUAAGGAGGUAAUAUUUUGAUUUUCUCAGUAGUUUUCUCAAUAUAUUGGAAGAAUUGGAAAAACCGGAGGAAAAACGGGAGAACUAGAAAAUAGGUACAAUAUUAAACAAUAUUAUUAAAGAAAAUGUUUAAUACAUAUGUUAUUAUUUGACCAUAUCACAUAUAUAUAUAUAUAUUGUUGACAAAGCAACGAUAUCAACUGAACUCGACUCAGAAUUGUUUUUUCGUUAGCAAUAGUUUAUCGUUGCUUAGAGAUAUAUAUAAAUUCCUGUCUGUACCCUAUACCUUCCCAACAUCCUACCUACAACAGUGGCUAUACUCACGUGCGAAGGAUGUCCGUCUUUUUUC